UACCUGGUUGAUCCUGCCAGCGGUGAUAUGCUCAGAUAAAAGAUUAAGCCAUGCAUGUCUAAGAACAUAUGUGUAAACAUGAAUCUGCGAACGGCUCAUUAUUAACACCCAUAAUCUACCCAGUUUUCGUAUCCAAAACGGAUAUCUGCGUUAAUUUUGGAGCUAAUACGUGCACCAACGUGCUGCUAGCAAUAGUGGCACGCACUUAUUAGAUCAAGGCCGAUUGGGGCAACCCUUUUGGUGACUCUGA
rnacentral:ncRNA from 1 species